UACGAAGGGGGCUAGCGUUGCUCGGAAUCACUGGGCGUAAAGCGCACGUAGGCGGGUUCUUAAGUCAGGGGUGAAAUCCCGGAGCUCAACUCCGGAACUGCCUUUGAUACUGGGGUUCUUGAGUCCGGAAGAGGUGAGUGGAACUCCGAGUGUAGAGGUGAAAUUCGUAGAUAUUCGGAAGAACACCAGUGGCGAAGGCGGCUCACUGGUCCGGUACUGACGCUGAGGUGCGAAAGCGUGGGGAGCAAACAGG
rnacentral:rRNA from 1 species